GGGUGUCUCAAUGGUAAAGAAUCUGCCUGUCAAGCAGGAGACAUGGGUUCAAUUCCUGGGUCUC
rnacentral:tRNA from 1 species